AAGUCGUAACAAGGUUUCCGUAGGUGAACCUGCGGAAGGAUCAUUAACACAAUUUUACUGUGAUAAAAUCCAUUGAGUUAUCGAAUACUCUUCGUGAUUCAAUGGUAUCCACCCCAUUAUUGACGAACUUUUGUCUAGAUGUUUGAAGAAAAAAAACAUAGAGCUCGUCUUUGUGUUUUUCAAAACAUUCUAAACCUUUGUCUCUACCCCAUCAAAACUUUUAACCCCUUUUACAAAAUGUCUUAGACUGAAAUGAAAUACUUUCUUAUCAAAAAAAUGAUAAAAAAACAACUUUUAACAACGGAUAUCUUGGUUCUC
rnacentral:misc_RNA from 1 species